UAUGAGGGUUUUCCUCAGAACCUAAAUUCCAGCAUAGCAACAGCAGCGUAGCUGAACAUCUUACGGAUGGCCCAGGGCUCCAAAGGCUCGUUUCCUAAGUGAGAGAGAGCCUGGCUGAAGCUGUAUUACCAUUCAUUCUCCAGCCUCCGAAGUCUCAAAGCAUCACUUCCACCAUACUCUAACUGUCAAGACAAACACAAAGGCCCAGAAAGAAGAAUACACUAUCGAUGUUCCUUUUAAACAAGUAUUUGAGUAAAAGCGAUGUUUCCAAUGUGUGUCAGAAAGUGAAUACUUGUAUAUUUCCGCACGGUUAGAGCUGAGCUUUCCGAGCAAAUUUUACUGGGACCCGGUUGAAAGACAGGUCUUGGAAGUGAAAUGAUGACUGACUAGAUGACAUUACAUGUAAAUGGAAUCAUACAAUAUGUGAUCUUUUGUGACUGGCUUCUUUCACUUAGCAUAACGUUUUCAAGAAACUGCCAGACUGUCUUCUGAAGUGGCUAUAAUAUUUACACUCCCAUCAGCAGUGGAGAAGGGGUCUCACUAUGUUGUCUGGAGUGCUGUGGUGGAGUGGAGUGGCUAUUCACAGGAUUCUUGGAAUGGACUGUAAAAGUCUGGAAUCAAGACUUUGUGUUUCCUCUCUAACAUGUAAAGAGCUUAGAAGUUGUCGCUAUUGCCCUUACAACAAAAUGAAGCUGGACAAACUGAAAAUCAAUGACUUUUCUUGGACUCACUAUACAGCUGAGUUUGCAGAGUAAACCACUACCCUGAAAUCUGGAAAGGCAGGUGCACCCACAGAUCCUCAGCUGAGAUCCAAUUACCUGAAAUAGAAGCUGCCAUUAGGAACACUUAAAAGAGCCUGUUCUGCUGGGACACAGAAUCACUUGCUCCAUCUCAUACAUUGAUGAUGAUUAAUUUGUAUGUGUACCUUCCAAAAAAGAUGGUUGUGUUUGAAUGGAGGCCUUCUGGACAGGAAAAGAUGGAGAGUGCGUGCUUUGGAUUCAAGACUGGGAAUGAGGGGACCAGAAACCUAUUCUGUGGCUGUUUCUUGUUAGGACUUUCCUAAGCCUCUGGAAAAGGUUCAAUCCUGCUGAUGCUCUCCAUGGAGAUGGUCAGCAAGUGCAAAGUACAAUUAACAUUUGAGUCUGUCUGAGUCAUGAAGAAAUGGAGAUUACUGAAAAUAAUUCAUUUUGGUAUCUUCUUACAUCCUGAGAGACUAAUCUUUCCAAGUUCAUCUGAGGCUCCUCUUCUCCAUGACAACCUCAUCCAGGGAUUUCUUCCUGUCCUGGUGUUUUAUGACAGGUGGAAGGGGACUGUAGCAGGUGAUCUCCAAAGUCUCUGGAGACUUACUAAUGUGCAUCCUCAUCUCGCUUGUAAGGAUAAUAGCCUUCCUCCAAACCUCACACACUUUUGGAGGAGAUCACUUUUUUUAAAGUGCAUGGAAAUGUUUUGAAACAGUGAAAUCUAUAAUGAUAGGUUUCAUAAUUCUAACAUCCACACCAUAUGAAUCACAUCCUUCCUGAGAUAAUGAGCACACAAUUGCCUGGAUACCUGAAGGAAUGGAGACAGCGGCAGAAAACACUGCAGAGAGGUGGAAACAUCCGUUAAUAUUUUAAAAUCCCAUUACUGCUACCAACAAUAAUAAUGGAUGCAUAGAAAUAGAUCUGGAUUAGCUGAGCUUGAAACAGUCCAUCUCACACACACACAAAAGAAUUUCAGAUACAGUGAACCCACAUGUUGAAGCUUUCUAGUAUAAUAAAAAUUUCAACUGUUCUGUUGAAUCAUCUGCCUGAUUGGAGGCUACAGAAAAGAUGUCAUCUUAGGAGUGCUUGCUCUGAGUGAGGCUCAUCUUCAAAUCUGAAUGACCACAAGGAGAUUUGAUUAUACAUGUGAACACCUCAGAAGGCACAGCCCACCCAGAAGGCAGACAGGUCAGGCUGCUUUUUCUUCAUUGCUUGGAUUCAAUCCUCCGGGCGGCUCAGGCUCAAACAUAACUUAAGCAUGAUUAAACUUUAGAAGAAGCUGCCAGGAAGACUGUGAAAUCUUCAUGCCCAAGGAUCCCUAAAAUUAGGAGCAACAACCACUUGGCUCAGACGGUUUAUGGAGGCAAAGGUUUGGAUGGGAUUAGAGAUUUCUAAAUGUGAGUUCGUGUCCUCUGCCAGACCACCUUACUUCCACCAUUCCUCAGCAAAUCAAGAAAAACAGGAGAAAAGACAUGCCUUUCCAUAAGUUAAAUCUAUUCUGUUUUAAUUCUAUAUUAUAUCUGCUGUACAACUUCUUUUGUUUGUAACACCAUAUUGUUGCUAGUAACUGGAAAUUAAUUUUCACAUGCCUCAGCUUAGAAAAAUAAAAAGCAGCCCUGCAUCAAUCCCAGGAGGAGACAGACACUAGAGCU
rnacentral:lncRNA from 1 species